GUGCCAGCCGCCGCGGUAAUACCGGCAGCUCGAGUGAUGGCCCAUCUUAUUGGGCCUAAAGCGUCCGUAGCUGGCCGCGCAAGUCCGUCGGGAAAUCCAUCAGCCCAACUGGUGGGCGUCCGGCGGAAACUGCACGGCUUGGGACCGGAAGGCUCGAGAGGUACGUCCGGGGUAGGAGUGAAAUCCCAUAAUCCCGCACGGACCACCGAUGGCGAAAGCACUUCGAGAAAACGGAUCCGACAGUGAGGGACGAAAGCCAGGGUCUCCAACCGGAUUAGAAACCCCGGUAGUCC
rnacentral:rRNA from 1 species